rnacentral:rRNA from 1 species
CUGUUUGAAGAUGGGGGGACCAUCCUCCAAGGCUAAAUACUCCUGAUUGACCGAUAGUGAACCAGUACUGUGAAGGAAAGGCGAAAAGAACCCCGGUGAGGGGAGUGAAAUAGAACCUGAAACCUUGUACGUACAAGCAGUGGGAGCCCUUUAAGGGUGACUGCGUACCUUUUGUAUAAUGGGUCAGCGACUUAUAUUUUGUAGCGAGGUUAACCGAAUAGGGGAGCCGAAGGGAAACCGAGUCUUAACUGGGCGUCUAGUUGCAAGGUAUAGACCCGAAACCCGGUGAUCUAGCCAUGGGCAGGUUGAAGGUUGGGUAACACUAACUGGA